GUAUGGACCUCAUCUCACGUCCUGUAUAUUUGUCUCACCCUGGCCCGUUGGACCCCGGGGACAACACGUUGCAACACCAAGCCUGUUGUAAGAACAGGGGGAUUACUGCUGAGGGAGAGGCCGUGUCCACGGGAGAACAAAGGUAUGCAGUAAAGAAAUGGAACUCCUGACUACAUGUGGAAAUGGAGUCUCCUGACUGGUGGAUUGGAUCUAUGACCAUUCUAAUGCAAUAAAGUUGAUCUCUAAAGACUAUUUGAUAUGAAUAAUUGUAUGCCUUGUUGUCAAUGAAUCAAAUAAACUCAUUUAUGCCUCC
rnacentral:lncRNA from 1 species